AAAUUGAAGAGUUUGAUCAUGGCUCAGAUUGAACGCUGGCGGCAGGCCUAACACAUGCAAGUCGAACGGUAACAGGAAUCAGCUUGCUGAUUUGCUGACGAGUGGCGGACGGGUGAGUAAUGUCUGGGAAACUGCCUGAUGGAGGGGGAUAACUACUGGAAACGGUAGCUAAUACCGCAUAACGUCGCAAGACCAAAGAGGGGGACCUUC
rnacentral:rRNA from 1 species